rnacentral:rRNA from 1 species
UACGGAGAGUGCAAGCGUUGUUCGGAAUCAUUGGGCUUAAAGCGCGUGUAGGCGGGACGCCAAGUGCCGGGUGAAAUCCCUCGUCUCAAUCGGGGAACUGCCCGGCAAACUGGCGUUCUUGAGGCGGGUAGAGGUGACUGGAACGACGGGUGGAGCGGUGAAAUGCGUAGAUAUCCGUUGGAACGCCGGCGGCGAAAGCGAGUCACUAGGCCCGUCCUGACGCUCAGACGCGAAAGCGUGGGUAGCAAACAGG